rnacentral:rRNA from 1 species
GGGUUGUGAGGUUAAGUGACUAAGCGUACACGGUGGAUGCCUAGGCAGUCAGAGGCGAUGAAGGGCGUGCUAAUCUGCGAAAAGCGUCGGUAAGGUGAUAUGAACCGUUAUAACCGGCGAUACCCGAAUGGGGAAACCCAGUGUGUUUCGACACACUAUCAUGUCAUGAAUACAUAGUGGCAUGAGGCGAACCGGGGGAACUGAAACAUCUAAGUACCCCGAGGAAAAGAAAUCAACCGAGAUUCCCCCAGUAGCGGCGAGCGAACGGGGAGGAGCCCAGAACCUGAAUCGGCUUGUGUGUUAGUGGAAGCGUCUGGAAAGUCGCGCAGCAAAGGGUGAUAGCCCCGUACACUAAAAUGCACAGGUCGUGAGUUCGAUGAGUAGGGCGGGACACGUGACAUCCUGUCUGAAUAUGGGGGGACCAUCCUCCAAGGCUAAAUACUCCUGACUGACCGAUAGUGAACCAGUACCGUGAGGGAAAGGCGAAAAGAACCCCGGCGAGGGGAGUGAAAUAGAACCUGAAACCGUGUACGUACAAGCAGUGGGAGCACCUUCGUGGUGUGACUGCGUACCUUUUGUAUAAUGGGUCAGCGACUUAUAUUUUGUAGCAAGGUUAACCGUAUAGGGGAGCCGUAGGGAAACCGAGUCUUAACUGGGCGAAUAGUUGCAAGGUAUAGACCCGAAACCCGGUGAUCUAGCCAUGGGCAGGUUGAAGGUUGGGUAACACUAACUGGAGGACCGAACCGACUAAUGUUGAAAAAUUAGCGGAUGACUUGUGGCUGGGGGUGAAAGGCCAAUCAAACCGGGAGAUAGCUGGUUCUCCCCGAAAGCUAUUUAGGUAGCGCCUCGUGAACUCAUCUUCGGGGGUAGAGCACUGUUUCGGCUAGGGGGCCAUCCCGGCUUACCAAACCGAUGCAAACUCCGAAUACCGAAGAAUGUUAUCACGGGAGACACACGGCGGGUGCUAACGUCCGUCGUGAAGAGGGAAACAACCCAGACCGCCAGCUAAGGUCCCAAAGUCAUGGUUAAGUGGGAAACGAUGUGGGAAGGCAUAGACAACCNNNNNNNNNNNNNNNNNNNNNNNNNNNNNNNNNNNNNNNNNNNNNNNNNNNNNNNNNNNNNNNNNNNNNNNNNNNNNNNNNNNNNNNNNCAUAGACAGCCAGGAUGUUGGCUUAGAAGCAGCCAUCAUUUAAAGAAAGCGUAAUAGCUCACUGGUCGAGUCGGCCUGCGCGGAAGAUGUAACGGGGCUAAACCAUGCACCGAAGCUGCGGCAGCGACGCUUAGGCGUUGUUGGGUAGGGGAGCGUUCUGUAAGCCGUUGAAGGUGGCCUGUGAGGGUUGCUGGAGGUAUCAGAAGUGCGAAUGCUGACAUAAGUAACGAUAAAGCGGGUGAAAAGCCCGCUCGCCGGAAGACCAAGGGUUCCUGUCCAACGUUAAUCGGGGCAGGGUGAGUCGACCCCUAAGGCGAGGCUGAAAAGCGUAGUCGAUGGGAAACAGGUUAAUAUUCCUGUACUUGGUGUUACUGCGAAGGGGGGACGGAGAAGGCUAGGCUAGCCGGGCGACGGUUGUCCCGGUUUAAGCGUGUAGGGGGUGUGACCUGGUAAAUCCGGUUGCAUACUAACCCUGAGGCGUGAUGACGAUGCACUACGGUGCAGAAGUAGUUGAUGCCCUGCUUCCAGGAAAAUCCUCUAAGCUCCAGGUAACAUUAAAUCGUACCCCAAACCGACACAGGUGGUCAGGUAGAGAAUACCAAGGCGCUUGAGAGAACUCGGGUGAAGGAACUAGGCAAAAUGGUGCCGUAACUUCGGGAGAAGGCACGCUGGCAUGUAGGUGAAGUCCCUUGCGGAUGGAGCUGAAGCCAGUCGAAGAUACCAGCUGGCUGCAACUGUUUAAUAAAAACACAGCACUGUGCAAACACGAAAGUGGACGUAUACGGUGUGACGCCUGCCCGGUGCUGGAAGGUUAAUUGAUGGGGUCAGCCGCAAGGCGAAGCUCUUGAUCGAAGCCCCAGUAAACGGCGGCCGUAACUAUAACGGUCCUAAGGUAGCGAAAUUCCUUGUCGGGUAAGUUCCGACCUGCACGAAUGGCGUAAUGAUGGCCAGGCUGUCUCCACCCGAGACUCAGUGAAAUUGAACUCGCUGUGAAGAUGCAGUGUACCCGCGGCAAGACGGAAAGACCCCGUGAACCUUUACUAUAGCUUGACACUGAACAUUGAGCCUUGAUGUGUAGGAUAGGUGGGAGGCUUUGAAGCGUGGACGCCAGUCUGCGUGGAGCCAUCCUUGAAAUACCACCCUUUAAUGUUUGAUGUUCUAACUCGGCCCCGUGAUCCGGGGUGAGGACAGUGUCUGGUGGGUAGUUUGACUGGGGCGGUCUCCUCCCAAAGAGUAACGGAGGAGCACGAAGGUUAGCUAAUCACGGUCGGACAUCGUGAGGUUAGUGCAAAGGCAUAAGCUAGCUUGACUGCGAGAGUGACGGCUCGAGCAGGUACGAAAGUAGGUCUUAGUGAUCCGGUGGUUCUGAAUGGAAGGGCCAUCGCUCAACGGAUAAAAGGUACUCCGGGGAUAACAGGCUGAUACCGCCCAAGAGUUCAUAUCGACGGCGGUGUUUGGCACCUCGAUGUCGGCUCAUCACAUCCUGGGGCUGAAGUAGGUCCCAAGGGUAUGGCUGUUCGCCAUUUAAAGUGGUACGCGAGCUGGGUUUAGAACGUCGUGAGACAGUUCGGUCCCUAUCUGCCGUGGGCGUUGGAAGAUUGAGAGGGGUUGCUCCUAGUACGAGAGGACCGGAGUGAACGCACCACUGGUGUUCGGGUUGUCAUGCCAAUGGCAUUGCCCGGUAGCUAAGUGCGGAAAAGAUAAGCGCUGAAAGCAUCUAAGCGCGAAACUUGCCUCAAGAUGAGUCUUCCCU